rnacentral:rRNA from 1 species
GACGAACGCUGGCGGCGUGCUUAACACAUGCAAGUCGAACGGAAAGGCCCUGCUUUUGUGGGGUGCUCGAGUGGCGAACGGGUGAGUAACACGUGAGUAACCUGCCCUUGACUUUGGGAUAACUUCAGGAAACUGGGGCUAAUACCGGAUAGGAGCUCCUGCUGCAUGGUGGGGGUUGGAAAGUUUCGGCGGUUGGGGAUGGACUCGCGGCUUAUCAGCUUGUUGGUGGGGUAGUGGCUUACCAAGGCUUUGACGGGUAGCCGGCCUGAGAGGGUGACCGGCCACAGUGGGACUGAGAUACGGCCCAGACUCCUACGGGAGGCAGUAGUGGGGAAUAUUGCACAAUGGGCGGAAGCAUGAUGCAGCAACGCCGCGUGCGGGAUGACGGCCUUCGGGUUGUAAACCGCUUUCGCCUGUGACGAAGCGUGAGUGACGGUAAUGGGUAAAGAAGCACCGGCUAACUACGUG